UACGAAGGGGGCUAGCGUUGUUCGGAAUUACUGGGCGUAAAGCGCACGUAGGCGGAUCUUUAAGUCAGGGGUGAAAUCCUGGAGCUCAACUCCAGAACUGCCUUUGAUACUGAAGAUCUUGAGUUCGGGAGAGGUGAGUGGAACUGCGAGUGUAGAGGUGAAAUUCGUAGAUAUUCGCAAGAACACCAGUGGCGAAGGCGGCUCACUGGCCCGAUACUGACGCUGAGGCACGAAAGCGUGGGGAGCAAACAGG
rnacentral:rRNA from 1 species